ensembl:lncRNA
GAAGAAAAACAUUAAGAUCCACAACAUUUAUUCCUUGAGACAAAACUAGGUCCAGAGUAUGACUGUGAUAGUGAGUAGGUCCAGAGACAUGUUGGACAAAAGCCACUGAGUCGAUGAUGGCUCCGAAAGCCUUUUGCAGUGGGUCUGUGGACUUUUCCAUAUGAAUAUUAAAGUCACCAAAAAUGUGAAUAUUAUCUGCUAUUACAAGGUCCGAUAGGAAUUCAGGGAACUCAAUUGAGGAAGCUGUAUGACCGGAAACAUGACCGAAUACAAACAGUGUAGCUAUUCCUUCCGCAAGGCAAUCAAACAAGCUAAGGUCGUUCUAGAGAUAAUGGGGAGGCUGGUACAGAGGUAAACAUUUAAAUAUUAUGAUCAAUAAAUUAUAUGAAUUUCUUCUGACAAAGAUAUUGUACAGAUCUGUGUUGCUGUUUGCCCACUCUGUUUAAUACUUAUUUUAGGAACUUGGUUGUAUGAUGUUCUCCAUCCGCACUCAUUCUCCUAUCUUGGUUUGGCUGGUCUUGUCCUCCAGACCUGUUAUGCUCCUGGGACUCUGGCAAGUUUCAAGGCGUCAGGCCUGUCCUCCAGUAGUUAUGAGCUGAGCCAGUACAUCAACGGUGCUGAACAGACUGAACCUGCCCCACAAGCCACCUGGAGAACAGCAGACACAGAUAAUUCUGGGGGAAACGGGAGCAGCGGGACAUGAGAUAAUUUCCUGGGCCGCUGGCUAGGGAAGACCUGCACAAAGGAGAUGCCAUGUGUUUUGUCCACCAGAGGGCAGAAGCCUGCAUGAUAAGGGCUCUGCCGGCCUCCUUUGGAAUCUACUUGUACUGCUGUUCAGCCAAAAUGGAGUAGGUGAACAUCUCUUCACGCUCUUAUAUUAGGUGAAACCCCUUUCUCUUAUUGCUCUUGAAAUAUCACAAAUUGGCCAAGAUGGUCCAAACUACACGCAACAAACAUUUGUUAUCCCAGUCUGUGGAAUUUGGAUUAUCUGCAUUAUCUGUGAGGCGCUGUGCCCACCCACAAACUCAUUCUAAC